CGGUCCGGUUCCGGAUUCCUGGGCGUAAGCGAGUGCAGGUGGUCUCGUAAGUUGGAUGUGAAAUUUCCCGGCUUAACCGGGACGGGUCAUUCAAUACUGCGGGGCUUGAGGGUAGAAGAGGGGGGUGGAAUUGCCGGUGUAGUGGUGAAAUGCGUAGAUAUCGGCAGGAACACCAGUGGCGAAAGCGGCCCCCUGGUUUACUCCUGACACUCAGACUCGAAAGCUAGGGUAGCGAACGGGAUUAGAAACCCCGGUAGUCCUAGCCGUAAACGAUGGAUGCUAGGUGUAGGUGGUAUUGACCCCAUCUGUGCCGAAGCCAACGCGUUAAGCAUCCCGCCUGGGGACUACGGCCGCAAGGUUAAAACUCAAAGGAAUUGACGGGGACCCGCACAAGCAGCGGAGCGUGUGGUUUAAUUCGAUGCUACACGAAGAACCUUACCCAGGUUUGACAUGCAGGUAGUAGUGAAGCGAAAGCGGAACGACUCGCAAGAGAGCCUGCACAGGUGCUGCAUGGCUGUCGUCAGCUCGUGCCGUGAGGUGUUUGGUUAAGUCCACUAACGAGCGCAACCCUUGUCGUCAGUUACAUGUGUCUGACGAGACUGCCGGCCUUAAGCCGGAGGAAGGUAGGGAUGAUGUCAAGUCAGCAUGGCCUUUAUAUCUGGGGCUACACACACGCUACAAUGGCCGGUACAAUGGGUUGCCAACCCGCGAGGGGGAGCUAAUCCUCUAAAGCCGGUCUCAGUUCGGAUUGUAGGCUGCAACUCGCCUGCAUGAAGCCGGAGUUGCUAGUAAACGCGCGUCAGCUAUAGUGCGUUGAAUACGUUCCCGGGUCUUGUACACACCGCCCGUCACGUCAUGGGAGCUGGUAACACCUGAAGCCGGUACGCUAACCGCAAGGAAGUAGCCGUCGAGGGUGGGACUGGUGACUGGGACGAAGUCGUAACAAGGUAACC
rnacentral:rRNA from 1 species